rnacentral:tRNA from 1 species
GCCAAGCUUAUUUUUGUACUUAGUGUUGAGUAGCUUAUUUUGCUAUAACAUUAAAAAUUAGUU